UUCUAGCAUCUUUAAUUGCAGGUUUUGGAUCUAUUGGAAGAUGGAUGUGAGGUUUUAAUUGACAACAUUCUUUCUGAGAACUGUCAAGAACUCCCUAUAGAUGGAGGAACCUUUUCUUCUUGAAAAUCAGACGCCCCAGUGGAAUUCUAGGGCAAAUCAACGAGACAGAUUCUUGACGAUUCCAAUUUCCAAAGGAAUGAAGACUUUUCACGCCCAUGCCCGUGCCCAAGUAACGUGACGUACAUGACUCUUGACCAUACAACUAAGGUUAAAUUUUGAUUGCGCCAAAAUGAUGUUGAUGCAAACAAACUACUUGGAAGGUCUAGUAAGAUAUACUUUCGGUGAAAUAAAAUCUUUUUUGAUGAAACUUAUUUUA